rnacentral:lncRNA from 1 species
GGAACAUUCUCUUUACAUGCUCUUACAUUCUCUCUACAUUCUCUUUACCUUUUUAGUCAAAUAAACAAUAACAUACAUGCAUUAAUACAAGAUCUAACACAAACACACUAAACAGUUUUCAGAAAAUAUCGGAUUUUCUGGUGGUUUUCAAAGUUAUACAAAUCAUUUUCACAAACAUGCUUAUGAACUCACCAACAUUUUUAUGUUGACCGUUUUCAAAAUAACUUGUAUUCUCAGGAUACCGUUGAAGCAGGAUGAACGAAACAAACUAAUGGAUAUUGUGUUAUAUUUUGUUUCAUCAUACUCUUACUAUUUUGGCAUGUAAUAUUCAAAUACAAUACUCGAUGUAAACAAUGAAUGUUGUAAUAUUACAUGUGUGAUGAUGAUGAUGUUAUGUUUCAAUUAUAUUCACUGUAAUGAUAUUUCAAGAUGAAGUCACGCACAAGCCCCCGGACGUUUCCGCCGUCUGGUUCGGGGGUGUGACAGAUUGGUAUCAGAGCAUUGUUUAUAGUGAACUAGCAUAUCUAAUCAUACAGGAUAUGCAACUAUAAAUACAAUGGGACUAAACAACUCUAAACAUAAUAAUUAAAAUACAUACCUUUGUGUGCAUUUUAGAAUAAUAACACAACAAGAACAGUAAAAGUCUUUAGAGGAUUUGAACAUCGCUAUUAAAAUCGAGCAAUUAUGUAAACGUAUUGGGGGUGAAUGUAGCCUGAUCAACUACAUUCAUUCAAAAUACGACCAACAUGUGUUCGGGAGUAAUUGUGAUGGACAAUGAAUCAAAAACUUACCAUUUAAUUACCCAAAGAGCUUAUAGAACAAAACCUAAACAAAAUUAAAAUUACUAUAGGAGUAAUUGGUAUGCUAUUUGUUUCUAGUAUUUAUACCCCUUUGUGAAAUACACUAUAGACGAGUAUCAUUAGCCAUGAAACCCCUAUCUCCCUAGUCAGGGAAUAGCAGGGUGGCUCGACUCAGAGGAGGAACACGAAGUAGAACUCGUAGAUGGACCCGCUGAGUCAAUAGUAGGCCUCGAAGGGGAAGAGCCAGAGGGCAAUGGUGAUGAUGACUCGGAUGCAGAAUCCAAUGUCAUCAAUCCUCCAUGUAAAGCUAGAGUACCGACUUAUCGUGUGAGCCCCGGUGGCCCCAUGCCCCCUUAGGCAUACGAUAUUUGGAGAUAGAGUCACCAGCAGGGGAUACGACCACACUAGGGUAGGAACCGAGGUCUCUCCGACCAUUAGGCAUAGAGGACCAGCUGACCGGGCCCUCCCAGUCAUGGUCCGGCGCGCCCUAGGUACUGAUAACCGAGCUCAGGACACCCCAAAUCGAACGGAAACAAAUGCAGUUUGCUAUUGAGAGAGACAAGAGACAAACAAAGGAAGUGAACGGAGACUCCCGAGCGAGACAGUUAGUUUGAGAGGUACGACUACGAGAUACCGAGCAACAAGUAGCUCGUCUCCGAGGUGCAUCAACUUCAUCAGCACCACCACCNUCCGCCACAAUUAGGAUCAACCUUUUCUUUUUCCCCCUCACUAUCCGAUAUGACUCUCUUUCGUGUACUAAGAUGGUACUUACCAAUGGAACAAUUAUGUGCUAUCUUUAUUUCAUAUUACUACACAAAUUCAAUUAUAACCGAACCCUCAAAACCGUUAGAUACUUAAGGGUCUCAAAACCAAAACACCCUAUAUACUCUAAGGAUAGACGUGACGAUCGUGCCAAAUCUGUGAUUACCUACUACCGCAAAUACAUCAUAGGGAUGUAGAUGGAAGUAGUGAGAAUUAUACAACAAGAUGCAAAAUUUAUAGAGUACAACCAGGAAUGACAAUCAUUACUUACGAUCUGGAUUAUCAACAUGCAGCAGGAAAAUGCCAUCCCGCAAGAAUAACAAGCACACCCGCGAGACACCGCUCCUGCAGAUGGACUCUGCUACAUUCCAAGCUAUUGUAACGGCGGCAGUAAUCGCUGCUAUGGCACAAAUCAAUGCAAACAACCCCAGUGGAGGUGGGAAUAACAUUGACAACUCCAGCCAAAGGAGCGAACAUGGAAACCAACAAGUGACAACCUAUCAAGGAACUCCAAACCCCAAGCUUAAGAUCAGGAAGCUGAGGUCUGGAAGUAAAAGAAAGGAACAACACACUCAAGGGUUCUCAAGGAAGCAACAUGUUGUUGCUAUUCAUGCGACCAUGACCCCUAUUAUCCCAACAACCCGGAGACCAUAUGUUGGAAGUCUUCCAAAAUGCAACCAGUGCAAAUUCCAUCAUAAUGGAGCCUGUCGGGAGAUGCAUUGUAACAAAUGCAACCGAAAGAAUCACACCGCCAAAUUCUGUAGAACUUAUCCAUGCCAGAAUCGUCAGCUAAAUGAAAACGACAACAAUCGCAACAACCCUAACAACAACACCAAUGAUGAGACCAGUCACACCUGCUAUGGGUGUGGAGGAACCGGUCACUUCAGGCGCAAUUGCCCCAAGGAUAACCAUCAAGGAGUAGAAGGAUCAGAAAUGGUCCUAACCUGGGGUCAAGGCGAAGCAGACCAAGACCCGACAGUUGUUACUGGUAUGUUCCCACUUAACAACUCUUUUGCUUACCUCUUAUUCAAUAGUGAAGCUGAGCGAAGCUUCGUUAGUAACAAAUUCAAACGCUUACUGAAACAACAACCCCAUAAGCUAAACAAAGCCUUCACGGUGGAGAUGGCUAAGGGGAAAACCGAAUCAACCUACGAUAUUUAUAUAGGGUACACCUUAACACUAAACAACCAUUUAUUUCAAAUAAAUUUAGUGCCAGUAAAUAUUAGGGGUUUUGAUGUGAUAAUCGACAUGGUUGGGUUAAGCCCCCACCAUGCUGAUGCUAUGUGUCGCGAGAGGGUCGUUUGCCUUCACCUUCCUAAUCACGAAACUCUAAUAAUCCAUGGUGAUAAACCUGACACCAAUCCUCUUCUUAUCUCGUGCAUCAAGGCACAAAAGUGCCUGCACCAGAAGAACUACGUUUUCCUCACUCAUGUUGUGGACAAGACCAAAGAAGAGGUAGGAAUACAAGGUAUUCCAGUAGCAUGUGAUUUUCCAGAUGUGUUUCCUGAAGAACUUUCGGGAAUAUCCCAGAGAGACAGGUCGAAUUUCGAAUCGACCUCAUACCGGGAACCACAUCAAUUGCCAAUUCACCCUAUAGGUUGACUCCCGUCGAAAAUUCACAAGUUAUCCAGUCAAAUGAGUAGAAUUGUUGCGCAAAUGAUUCAUCAGACCAAGCUUCUCUUCCUGAAGAGCUCUGAGCGGAUCCUUCAGAAGGUACAUCGAUUUUAGGAAAUUGAAUAAGCUCCUUAUCAAAAAUUGAUACCCACUCCCUCGGACUGACGAUCUAUUUGGCCAGCUCCAAGGAGCUAGUUACUUCUCUAAAAUAGAUCUAAGAAUCGGUUAUCAUCAACUUCGAGUCCGAGAAGACGACAUUUCAAAAACUUCCUUCCGAACUCAUCACGACCAUUUCAAAUUCAUUGUGAUACCCUUCGGUCUAACGAAUGCUCCCACACUAUUCAUGGACCCUACGUACCAAGUUUUCUCAAUCAUUCCUAGUUAGCCUUUUCAUUAUUUUCAUCAAUAACAUACUCGUCUGCCCACGAAGCGAGAACGAAACACUGUCAACAUCUACUACCAGCCUUGAAAGCAUCAAAGCCGGAGAAUAUCGUGAAAAAAGCACUGCAUGGAUGGAUAAAACCCUCGAAGUCAAAAGACAAAGCUUAUUAUUAUAAGAGUUGAGUUGGGCGCUAUCCGGGUGAUCGUCGAUAGGUUAACCCAAUCUGCCCAUUUCCUGCUAAUACAGAUCGUGAGACUCCAUGAAGUAUCAGUAUCUACUAUCUCGGAUCGAGAUAAUGGGAUUACUUCAAGACUUUGACAGUCAUUUCAGAAGACUAUAGGAACAUAGCUAAGUAUGAGCGUUGCUUACCACCCUCAAACCAAUAGUCAAAGCGAACGAACUAUUCAACCACUCAAACUCAUGCUACAAGUCUAGGUGUUUGAAUUCAGCAAGUCAUGGGAUACUCGGUUGCCCUUGAUUGAAUUCUCAUACAAUAACAACUAUCGCACGAGCAUCAAGAUUGAUCCUUUCAAAACUCUUUAUAGUCAUAAAUGCAGAUCACUCGCCAGUACUCUCAUGAGACCAGAAACCAUUUGCGAAACAACAGAGAAGAUAAUCCAAAUCAAAGCUUGACUUCAAGCAUCGCGAGACCGACAUAAGAGCUAUUCUGACAAGCGGCGUAAGCCAUUAGGAUGUCAAGUCGGGGAUCGCGUGUUAUUAAAAGAAUCUCCUUGGAAAGGAAUGAUUCGCUUUAGGAAACGAGAAAACUAAACCCACGAUAUAUCGGGCUGUUCGAGAUUCUUGCUCGGAUUGGUCCAAAGACUUAUAGGCUACAACUGCCUGUAGAGCUCAGCAACGUACACCGUAUGUUCAGCGUAUCGAAUCUGAAAAAGUGUCUAUCAGGCAAAACUCUUAUCAUUCCUUUAUAAGGGAUCGAAAUAAACAAGAAUCUCCUAUUCUUAGAAGAACUAGUCGAGGCAUUGGAUAGGGAAUUAAAGCAUACAAAACAAAGCCUCAUUCCGAUUGUAAAGGUUCAAUGGAACGCGAAACAUAGAUCGGAAUUCACAAGUGAACGCGAAGGCUAGAUUAAGCAGAAGUACCCUCACCUAUUCUCUCAUUAAUGAACCUAUCUUUUAAAAGAAUUUCGGGACGAAAUUCCCUCUAACGGGGGAUGAUGUCACAACUAGCAUUUUGCUAGGAAAUUCUAUUCCCAUGUACACAUCAUCCAUUGUAAAAGGCUAUACUUACUAUACUCUAUUCUCAUUCAAAUACAUCUCAUAUGUUCAACUAAGGGUUGGAAACCCUAGAAAUCCCGACUCAAAUUCAUUAUGGACUAGGAUUCUUUUAUUGGGCCUAAGGGACCAAUAAAUCAUCAACUCAUCAGUCUAUAACAUUUUGGGCCAUUUGGGCCUAAAAUGAUUCAUUCCACCUCUAAUGGACCAUGAUGGGCCAUAAAGGAUUUAAUUAGCCCUAAUGGGCCCUAAACAAAUUUCUUUUGCCAUUUUGGGCCGUGAGCCUCCCUAAGAGCCCAAUGGGCCGAAAGAUUUCUUAUGGGCCUCAUAAUUUCGAGCCAAGGCUAGAAAUGGGCCAAGUUAAUCCACCACCUUUCUCUCUAGCCCAUAUUCGGCCCAAAAACAAAACAAAAAAAAGGAAAAGAGAUGAAUUAUCCUAACUUUGCCACCUCAAUGUUGCAUUGUGGUCAUCCAUGCACAAUAACCACCAUACAACAAGGUAAGUUCAUGUAUCUAGGCAAGAAAAUCUUUCUUCCUCUCCCUUCUUCAAACUCACGGCCAUAUGGCCUUUCUACCUUCACAUUUCAUUCUAAAACCCAACAUUUUCUCUCAUCAUUCCUCUCAAACACUCUCAAGAAAAACCACUCUUCUUUCCUUUCAAUUUUUCGAGAUUUUAAGCAUUUCAAGAAGGUUUUCCCACCAAGAUCAUCAACUUGGGUAAGUUCUUAAUUAGAUCUAUGAUUUAGCUUCUUGAUCUCUUCAAAGAUCUCCUCUUACACCCAUAUUUUUGUGGAUCAUGUUCUUAGAACCAUCUAAGUUCAAGAUCUACUCAAGAAAGCUUGCUAGGAACCACAAAUCUCUUCAUCUCUUCUACAAAACCGAAACCUCAAAGCAAAGGUGAGUUCAUACCCCCUUGUUUUUGGUUUUUACUUGUUUUUGGGGGAGAAUACAAGUUGAUUUGUGUAGAUCUAUGUGUAUAUGCAUGACUAUGUGUGUUUUCCAUGAAUUAUUUGGUGAUUAUGUGUUGAUUUCUUCACUAAUCUAAAAAUAUGUUAAGAAACUUGAAGUUUAUCACUAGGAUCUUCAUAUGAAUCUUGAGAAAAGUAUGUUUUAUCACAAGUAUUACAUGUAAACAUGUAGAUCUGGGAUUUGUAUACUUGAUAUAGCAAAAAUAAGUGUUGUGUUCAAAAAUCUAUAAACUAAACUCACAAAACAGCCCUUGACAGAAAACUUUUGGUCCAAUCUCGGACUGUUUUGACCAUCCAAAUGGAAGUAUUUUUCAAAACUGUUUUACAUGGAUAAAGUUCAGAUUUAUACCUUUAAAAUGACUACUCUCACGUUUUCAUACGAUUUUUCUACAAUUUUUGGCGAAUUUUACAAAACUCCCUAUCAUAUUUGAAAUAAUUUCGGACCAACCUGUGAAGAUGAGUAAUUUCACACUAGUUUGAGGCCAUCAAAAAUUAUGAGAAAAAUUGUGAACAAAGUAGACAAAAUUUCCAAACUUCCAAAAUUUACGGAUCCAGAUUUCGACUUACGAUGAAUGUUCUACAAAUUUUCUAAAAACUAGUUCGGAAAAGCCAAAAACCAGAAAAAUAUGUAUUUUCACAAAACCAAGCCAAAAAUGAUAUUUUUGACACAAAUGGGUUUAAAAUGUUAUUUUUAUCACAAAGUAGUCAUCAACACAAGUUUUUAACAAAGUUGGAGGCUAAAGUGUUACUCUUACAAAAAUUGGGCCUUAAUUGUAAAUUUUUGGCUUAUUGGGCCAAGAACGUCAUUUUUACAAAAAGGUGGGCUUUUUAUAUCAACUUUGUAAAUAAGCAAGCUAAAAUAAACAAAACAAUAACAAACGGGAUUAAAAACGAUACUCAUAUCCUUAUUGGGCCUGGAAAUAAUAUACACGUUUAGUGGGCCUUAAUGUCAUUUUACAUGUAUAUUGGGCUCGGGAUAGGUAUUCAUAUCCUUAUUGGGCCUGGAAAUAAUAUACAUGUUUAGUGGGCCUUAGUGUCCUUUUACAUGUAUAUUGGGCUCGGGAUAGGUAUUCAUAUCCUUAUUGGGCCUGGAAAUAAUAUACAUGUUUAGUGGGCCUUAGUGUCCUUUUACAUGUAUAUUGGGCUCGGGAUAGGUAUUCAUAUCCUUAUUAGGCCUGGAAAUAAUAUACAUGUUUAGUGGGUCUUAGUGCCCUUUUACAUGUAUAUUGGGCUUAGGAUAGACAUUCACAUUCCUUUUGAGCCUGGAAAUAAUAGACACAUAUAGCGGGCCUUAGUGGUUCACCUACAUGUUUAUUGGGCCUCGGAAUGGGUUUUAUAUGCGUUCUUCUUUUUAUGCUACUUUAGUGAAUACUUGAACUAAAACCAAUGAUAAACCAACAAAUGGAUUUAAUUUGAUCAUUUUCUAGGUUAUUGGGCCUUAGUGACCCAUUUUUAUGUGUGAGAGGUCCUGUAUAUGUUUAUUGGGCCUCAUUGACCCAUUAACAUGUGCGACGGACCUUGGAUACUAUUUGUGUGCCAUUUGGGCCUGUAAAUACUUUACAUGUGAAAUGGGCCUUAGUUGUCCUUUCAUAUAUAUUUCGGGCCCAUGUUAUAUAAUCUCAUUCCAAUUGGGUCUUGAAAUGAUUUACAUGUUUAGCGAUGCCUUAGUGGUUCACUUACAUGGAUCAUUGGUCCUGGAAUGAGUUUAUACCUUUUUCUUCGCGUAAAUUCGAUUAAGGAUCUAGCGAGUUUUUGUCGGUUGGCACCUAUUAAGUGUACGAUCGUAGCCUGUAGUUAUAACCAGAGUCUCUUGGAGGGAGAACGGGGAUUUGUGUAUAGAUCUAUACGGGGAUGACACCCCACACCUCAGUUGUUCGCUACAGUUAGACUAACUCAGUCUAGGGUGACGAAAACCUUAUAAUCAAAGUCAAAACCGGCGUCCAACGACGCCAAGACAGGCGAAAUUGUCAUUAUUUAGUAUGGUUAUGACGGCUCGCUUAGAGGAAUUAACGUUAUGAAGUUUACGGAAGACCCUUUUUUUUACAGGCAGCAUCGGGUUGUCUGGGAACAUUCUCUUUACAUGCUCUUACAUUCUCUCUACAUUCUCUUUACCUUUUUAGUCAAAUAAACAAUAACAUACAUGCAUUAAUACAAGAUCUAACACAAACACACUAAACAGUUUUCAGAAAAUAUCGGAUUUUCUGGUGGUUUUCAAAGUUAUACAAAUCAUUUUCACAAACAUGCUUAUGAACUCACCAACAUUUUUAUGUUGACCGUUUUCAAAAUAACUUGUAUUCUCAGGAUACCGUUGAAGCAGGAUGAACGAAACAAACUAAUGGAUAUUGUGUUAUAUUUUGUUUCAUCAUACUCGUACUAUUUUGACAUGUAAUAUUCAAAUACAAUACUCGAUGUAAACAAUGAAUGUUGUAAUAUUACAUGUGUGAUGAUGAUGAUGAUGUUAUGUUUCAAUUAUAUUCACUGUAAUGAUAUUUCAAGAUGAAGUCACGCACAAGCCCCCGGACGUUUCCGCCGUCUGGUUCGGGGGUGUGACACGUUAGGU